rnacentral:rRNA from 1 species
GUCGAACGGUAAGGUCUCUUCGGAGAUACACGAGUGGCGCACGGGUGCGUAACGCGUAUGCAACCUACCCUAAAGCGGGGGAAAGUCGCGGGAAACUGCGAAUAAUACCCCAUGUGAUCUUAAUAUUACAUGAUAUAAAGAUGAAAGCUCCGGCGCUUUAGGAUGGGCAUGCGUCCCAUUAGUUAGUUGGUAAGGUGACGGCUUACCAAGACAAUGAUGGGUAGCUGGUCUGAGAGGAUGAUCAGCCACACGGGCACUGAGACACGGGCCCGACUCCUACGGGAGGCAGCAGUAAGGAAUAUUGGUCAAUGGGGGCAACCCUGAACCAGCCAUGCCGCGUGGAGGAAGAAGGCCCUCUGGGUCGUAAACUGCUUUUCUGAGGGACUAACUAUGUGCUAUACGCACAUUUGCAGGUACCUUAGGAAUAAGCACCGGCUAACUACGUGCCAGCAGCCGCGGUAACACGUAGGGUGCAAGCGUUGUCCGGAUUUAUUGGGUUUAAAGGGUGCGCAGGCGGUUUGUUAAGUUUGUGGUGAAAGCGUCCCGCUUAACGGGAUACCCGCCAUGGAUACUGGCAGACUUGAGUAUGUCUGAGGGAAUUAGAAUGCGUGGUGUAGCGGUGAAAUGCAUAGAUAUCACGCAGAAUACCGAUUGCGAAGGCAGAUUUCUAAGACAUAACUGACGCUGAGGCACGAAAGCGUGGGGAGCGAACAGGAUUAGAUACCCUGGUAGUCCACGCUGUAAACGAUGAUCACUAGGUGUUCGACCUUCGGGUUGAGUGCCCAAGCGAAAGCGAUAAGUGAUCCACCUGGGGAGUACGUUCGCAAGAAUGAAACUCAAAGGAAUUGACGGGGGCCCGCACAAGCGGUGGAGCAUGUGGUUUAAUUCGAUGAUACGCGAGGAACCUUACCUGGGCUAGAAUGCCUCUGCUAUCUGCCGAAAGG